CAUGCAAUAGAUACAUACAUAUAUAUUCAACCAUAAGGGUGUACUAAUGAGCUAUGUGAAAUAGAAGAAGAAAAAAAAAUCAUAGUUGAGGACUACUGAAAUUAAAUUGCUUCAGUGUAAGUAAGGGAAGGGCAGGUUAAAAUAAAACACAUGGCAGCCAGACAAGCCUGUAUAUGAAUCAAAUGGAUUUGCAUAUGAAUGGAGCUGACUUCCUGAUCUGUACGGAGGCUGGUGACACCUUAAUUGGGGAGAACAAGUUAGGUUGAAAGAGGUUCGACACGUCUCUGGCUGACUGCGUCCGGCUGCACUGGGGCAGGAGGAGCAGGAGCCCAGGGAGCAGUUUGAGAUCUGCUACAAGCUCUUCCAGCUGACCAACAUGGAGGAAGGGAACCAGCUCGGAACGGUGACCUGUGAAUCAUUCUGCAUACAGAUCAACAACCUGUUGGCGCAGAGGUUCUACGAGUUCGGUGAAGCGGACCGAUGCCUGCUGCCUGGUCAACGGAAUCUGGAAGGACACCAUGGUGCUCGGAAACUAUCACCAGGGGGCUUCACCAGGAGGCAAGAGCAGAGAAGGAUAUUGCCCUUGUAGUGGGCUAGUGGGGCGUGAGUGCAUAGCUAUAUAUAUAUUUUUUUUCUCUCUCUAAUAAAAGACGUUGUCAAUAUAUAAUU